rnacentral:rRNA from 1 species
UACGUAGGGUGCGAGCGUUGUCCGGAAUUAUUGGGCGUAAAGAGCUCGUAGGCGGUCUGUCGCGUCGAAUGUGAAAACCCGGGGCUCAACUCCGAGCCUGCAGUCGAUACGGGCAGACUAGAGUGCUGUAGGGGAGACUGGAAUUCCUGGUGUAGCGGUGAAAUGCGCAGAUAUCAGGAGGAACACCGGUGGCGAAGGCGGGUCUCUGGGCAGUAACUGACGCUGAGGAGCGAAAGCGUGGGGAGCGAACAGG